AUUGAACGCUGGCGGCAGGCUUAACACAUGCAAGUCGAACGAGUGGCGGACGGGUGAGUAAUGCUUGGGAAUCUUGCUUAUGGAGGGGGAUAACUACGGGAAACUGUAGCUAAUUCCGCGUACUAUAGGAUGAGCCCACGUGGGAAUAGGUAGUUGGUGGGAGAAGGGCUCACUAGGCCGACGAUCUCUAGCUGGUCUGAGAGGGUGACCAGCCACGCUGUGAUGGAGACACGGCCCAGACUCCGACGGGAGGCAGCAGUGGGGAAUAUUGCGCAAGGGGGGCAACCUAACGCAGACAUGCCGCGUGAAGGAAGAAGGCCUUCGGGUUGUAAAGUUCUUUCGGUAGCGAGGCGUUAACUACAGAAGAAGCACCGGCUAACUCCGUGCCAGCAGCCGCGGUAAUUC
rnacentral:rRNA from 1 species